CUACAAUCAAUUAAGCUUCCCAGCUCUUUUUCUAGUGGGGGCCUGGUGUGCAAUGGCUGCAAACAGCAGCAUCCUAGGUAGUGUACAGCAGCCUGUUCCUUGUGUGCAAUAGCCUUUGCCAUUGAACAUUU
ensembl:snoRNA SNORA70 Small nucleolar RNA SNORA70